GACGAACGCUGGCGGCGUGCCUAAUACAUGCAAGUAGAACGCUGAAGGAGGAGCUUGCUCUUCUGGAUGAGUUGCGAACGGGUGAGUAACGCGUAGGUAACCUGCCUGGUGGCGGGGGAUAACUAUUGGAAACGAUAGCUAAUACCGCAUAAGAGUAGAUGUUGCAUGACAUUUGCUUAAAAGGUGCAAUUGCAUCACUACCAGAUGGACCUGCGUUGUAUUAGCUAGUUGGUGGGGUAACGGCUCACCAAGGCGACGAUACAUAGCCGACCUGGGAGGGUGAUCGGCCACACUGGGACUGAGACACGGCCCAGACUCCUACGGGAGGCAGCAGUAGGGAAUCUUCGGCAAUGGACGGAAGUCUGACCGAGCAACGCCGCGUGAGUGAAGAAGGGUUUCGGAUCGUAAAGCUCUGUUGUAAGAGAAGAACGAGUGUGAGAGUGGAAAGUUCACACUGUGACGGUAUCUUACCAGAAAGGGACGGCUAACUACGUG
rnacentral:rRNA from 1 species